GACGAACGCUGGCGGCGUGCUUAACACAUGCAAGUCGAGCGAGGCCCCUCCUUCGGGGUGGUGCCCUAGCGGCGAACGGGUGAGUAACACGUGGGCAACCUGCCCUCAGCUCUGGGAUAACUCCAAGAAAUUGGCGCUAAUACCAGAUGUGACCGCUGACCGCAUGGUCUGGUGGUGGAAAGAUUCAUCGGCUGAGGAUGGGCCCGCGGCCUAUCAGCUUGUUGGUGGGGUAAUGGCCCACCAAGGCGACGACGGGUAGCCGGCCUGAGAGGGUGACCGGCCACACUGGUACUGAGACACGGCCCAGACUCCUACGGGAGGCAGCAGUGGGGAAUAUUGCGCAAUGGGCGAAAGCCUGACGCAGCGACGCCGCGUGAGGGAUGACGGCCUUCGGGUUGUAAACCUCUUUCAGUAGGGACGAAGCGAAAGUGACGGUACCUACAGAAGAAGCACCGGCCAACUACGUG
rnacentral:rRNA from 1 species